GAUCCUGGCUCAGAAUCAACGCUGGCGGCGUGCCUAACACAUGCAAGUCGAACGAGAAAGUCCCGCAAGGGAUGAGUAAAGUGGCGUACGGGUGAGUAACACGUAGCUUACCUACCCUCGAGUGGGGAAUAACCUGGGGAAACUCGGGCUAACACCGCAUAACAUCCGUGAGGAUCAAAAGUCCGCAAGGGCUGCUUGAGGAGGGGGCUGCGGCCGAUUAGCUAGUUGGUGAGGUAAUGGCCCACCAAGGCAAUGAUCGGUAGCCGGCCUGAGAGGGCGCACGGCCACACUGGCACUGAAACACGGGCCAGACUCCUACGGGAGGCAGCA
rnacentral:rRNA from 1 species